CGUGUACAACGCGCAGGGAAUUUCUCUCCUCGUACAAAAUACACUUCAAAUCUGUGCGCAAUAUUUUUAUAGCUAAGAAAUCAAUUGAUUCGAAAAUACAUAUAUUUGCAAAGCUGUGAGUAGUGUUGUAUAUUGACAAGAAGUAGUAAAAUAUUGAUGGGGCGUGAAAAUGGUGGCUGACGGAAAAGGUUAAUCAGCGCUUAUUGAGGAACCAUGAGUCGGAAUUACCGUAAUCCGUCGGUAUACGACUUCACUGAGAUAUUUGAAAUUUUACUUCAGAAAUACCAUUCGAUGACUGGGAUAUUCACCGUAGACCGCAUGUCGGUAAAAUAUUAUCGAUAAGGUAGUACUCGUCUUAUGAUAAUGUGUCAUGACAUGCGACUUUAUUGACAUAAGAAAUCGUAAGGCAUGGUCGGUAAGUUACCUUCGCAAAAAGUUGGUAAUACAGGAAUGUGAUAAUCACUUGUUCAAAAAUAUAUUACUAACAGUUGCAGUAUGACCAUAUAGUUAACAAAUAAAUAAUUCAUUUUCGAAUGAAACCUGUUUCGAUCUUGUAAACAUCAUCUGGACAAUUGUAGGAGUGCAGUUUCAUAAUUUAGAAACGAACCGUUUUUUAAAAUAAUUUUUCUGCGUUGUACAAAAAUAUAAGAUUAACAUAAAGUAGUAUUUAUUCCGACUGAUAACUCGCGUAAAAAAAUAUGUUAAUGAUUAAUAGUAAGGAAUGAGCCGUUAAUAUGAAUUCUUGUUAAUCGGUAUCAGAGAAAAAUAUUCACUAAAAGUUAUGGAGGUGACGUUCCCUUACGAUUAUGAAAUCGUAGCCAAAAAUUUAAGUGUUCUCAUGAUUUUCUACCCAAGAUCAUAACCGAUAAAUAAAAUGUAUGCUGCUAAUACUUUGUUUGUUUGUAAUUUGAUUACAGAUAUUUAUACAUAUCAAGUCAUUGACUGAAAUCGCAUUUGGCAUUUGCUUCUGUUUCGCUUUCAAAAAUCGUGAAUUUAAAAUCGUUUUUUGUUCCUUUGAAAAGUCAUUUCAGCUUUGAGCCCCUGAACUUGACAACUGAUAACUAUAAUUUAUUUCAUUUGUUCAAAUAUUUGCUAUCAGAAUCGACUAUAUCUACGUAUCCCUCCGAAGUUCUAUCUUAUAUAUGAGUCAGGAGGUUAUUGUAAAGCUCUUAGACAUUAUUGUGCUGAAUUUUAUAGAAUAUCGUUCAAUAAAUGGCCAAUUUUUCACGGGCCUUUAUAUACUCUCCAUUUUUCAAAUAUACUUUAUCCUAAUUAAAAAUUUUGUAAUCAAGAUCCCCCUGCAAUAAUGAUACCCUGUGUUAAUUCACAGUAAGUAAACUGAAAUCAAUAUAUUUCAAACAGCACUCUAAUUUGAUCUGUACUAUAAUUUGGAGUAACUGUGGGCAUUGUACUUUCGCUUGUUGUAACUUUAUCGCAUAGAAAAAAAAACCAAUGUAUUUUCAUCAUUUGGGACUUCAAAUAAGUCAGGUAAACAGAAAACCAAAAUUGCCAGAAAACAGCUGGCUUCAUUUUUCUUAGAACAUAUCCAGAAUUUAUCGAGUUAAAUCUUCCCAGAAUGUCAGUAAUAAUGCAAAGCCCUAUCGGAUUUUCCAGGUUCCAUCACUUGUCUCGUCAAAUUCAUUAUUAAGUUAUCGAAAUGUACGUGAAACAAGAAUCGAAUCCCAACGGAAAUGUAAAUAAGAACAUGCCAAUCAUCUCGACCACUUUAAUCAUUCUUCGGUCAAUCUGAUUCAAAACUAUCUGUUAUUUACAUACCUGGAAAUUAAAUCUCAAGUUCGAUGUGGGAUUCUCUAGCAGCUCCUGAAACAAACAAAUAUUUGUUUUAAAUUCUAUUUGCAGAAAAACAAUUACUUAUCGCUAGUAAUCUCUAGUAAUUAAAAGCCUCAUCUCCAAUUUUUUUGGCUCAAGUACACCAGCCAAAUAACCUCAAUCAUAACAAGACAUGUCAGCUAACAAUCUCUGACUGAUUCUCAACAUAUGAUCGGAUAUUUCCAGAUAGAAACAGAUCCACUCUACGAAUGCAUUGUUUACACUGAAUAACGUCGAGAUCGAUUGUGAACGUAUCGUCAGUACUUCUUGAUAGCAAUGUUUACACAAAUUUAACGACCGAGUCAUAAAAAAUUACCCAUUAUAUUAAAAUGCGUGGGUGAACUAGCCACGCGACUCAGACGUUGAGAAUGAGGGAAAAGGGAAGGGUGGUGGAGAAAGGAAAAAGGGAGGAGAAUGGAGACAGAUAACAUUUUGACGCACGAGUAGAAUCGAAUUUACACCGACAGUCACUCGAAUUAUUCUUUUACAAUUCUCCAGGAUAAAUUUUGUGGCUUAAAACGUGGAAUGUUACGAUCCCCUGUGUUACAGAAGAAAAGGAAAGUGACAAGAACAUCACCAUGGUACUGCAAGCUACGGAGCGGCCAUAUUGGGCUAGCGAGUGAGUGCUGCCCUCUGGAUUCAAUCUCAUCAACUACGUUCGCUGCGGCGGGAUAAUCGAAGAGGGAGAACACCAGGGGGAUUCGCGAAACAGAAUUUUCGAAUAUUACGAAUAUUUUAUCGCCCAUAUACUGAACAACGUAUUACAUAAAUAUUUGAUCAGAGAAUUUCGAGUUAAGUAGAAGUGUAAAAUUAUCGGUCAAUAUUGUAAUGCCGAUAAUAGCGGAUUCUCUAUUCUCUGCUGGUAACACGCUUGCACAAAGAGACUAUAUUAAUGUAUUAUUUUUUGUGCUGGUCGGGACGGAGAAUUAAGCAUCAAAAACAAUUUUGUUAAUGCAUUUUUUAUAAAUACCGGAGUCGGCACGAUUAUUGCAGAUGGUACCCGCACUUACCAUCAGCCGGUGCUCAGACCGUUUCGACAAUCCAUAAAAUGAAUAUUUCACAUUAGAAUUUAUUUGGUGUUAUCUUCUCAAACACGUAAAAGCUAUAAAAAGUAUUGGGCAGUAAUUCGGAAAAUUGGGUGGGAAUAGGAGUUUUCAGUUAUUUUCACACAUUCAUAUAUGCCACAUAGUUUAGUACAUAUGUGAAUAUUAAUAAUUCUAAAUUAAUAAAUAUGAGAUAGAACGUGAUAGAUAAUUUAUGUGCGCAAAAAACGUUAUUUCAAUUAUUUUGUAUCUAUUUUAUAUUCUAUUUUAUAUGUUGUAUUAUAUAUGUACACAUGUAAAUAUAUAGGAAAUUGUUUCCGUAUAAAACGAAGUUAAAUCCUGCUUGAACAUUGGUUACUAGAAAAAUUUUAACGAUAAAUAAUUUCUUUAAAAGUUAGGAGGCCCAAUGUAAUUGGGUUUUCUGUUUUGUCAGUUUUCAAUCAUUUUUCAAUUUAUCGUGAGGAUAAAGUUGCUUUAGGAGGCGGAGGGUCGAGGAUGUGUAUCGGAAUAUCCGAUGAUAUUUUUCAAAAUGUUUGUUGAGGGAGUAGAAGGAAGGAGACGAUAUGACCAGAAAAUUGGAAUGUACACCAAGAUAAAAGGUUCAAUAAAAAAAAUAUUGAACUUUUGUAAUUCGCAAGCGAGAAUAAGGGUCCGAUAAAAAGUAGAGACAAUCCAGAAAAAAAUUCCUACCACUCCGUAAAUAAUCCACGAACAAUUCCAUAAUUUUCACAGAAAGUUCUGGAUUUUUUUGGUGGUUCCUCCGUAAUUUUUAUCGCACCCUUGUUUUUAUUUCGAAAGUGGCAUAUAAUUUUGAGAAAUUUUAUUACAGGUGGGUGUUGUCAAAAUUUCCAUAAUAAUAAAUUGGAUAAUUUCAAUACUUGGAUAUGAUCAUAUUCUAGGUGACAGUAUCCCACCCCUUAGAAAUUCUCUUCCACAAAAUUCAAUUCUUCUCCCAGGAAAUUGAUCGUUGCAAAAGUCAUUGUUGUUCUCAGCAUAUAUCUCCAUCCUCUAAACUAUGACCUAAUUAAUUCCCAGUAUCGAAUUCUCCUACAUUCCCCCUCAUUUCUAUUCCCACUGCUGAUCCACAUGAAAUCGAACCGUUAACAGUAAUCUCCCUAGUUGACAACACAACAAUAACACGACCAAUUUACUCGUUUAAUGAUCAGCAAAUCUCUGAUAUAUGAUUCCCCGCAUAUUUGCCGGUGAAGUUUGUGCAUUAUAUAUCCGAUAGUUGGUAACAGAAACUGAAAUCCAUUAUUCUCCGCACACAAGUGCAGAAUUAUUGGCUCAAUAUUAGCCUCACAACGAUGAGAUCACCGGAUAGUGCACAUUAGUGGUUGGUAUACAGGUAUACAUCUGCAAUUGUAUUUUGCGACUAGGUGAUCUCGAAUCCCACCAAGUGUCGGACCAAACAAAUUGGUAACAUCGUACUUAUGUAACAUGCACCGUGAUGCUAAGAGCAAUUUGUGUCUGUCCAGAGUUCAGUGAGUCGAGGCUCAUCGUAUUCAAAGUCCACCCUAUCCUUCGUAAACUUGCACCAACCCCUCUGUAAAAGAGUCAACGAACUUCCUUAACGAACUCUCCAAGAGAAACCUCUUUUCAGUGUUCAUCUAAUAAAGUUAAGAGAUCGUAGCUAUAUAUCCCGAUAAUAAUUAUAAAUAAAUAAAAUUGAAAGCGUAUGCUAUGAACGAUUUUAAUCUUGUAUCCUUGAAAGUUAGCAAAGUAAAAUCCGAAGAGUUUGCUUAAUGACGAGCAGAUUAAAAAAGUGGUUACAUAUCGAUCUUAUUAUUUAUCUAGUUUUUUCAAAGUUUGCUCAAAUCCUUUGCGACGACAAAUAUGGAGCUUGGGAAUAGAUUUCGGAAAUUUUAGAAAGAACCAUCAUAAAUCAUCAAAACAAUCGUUCGACGAUAUUUGGAAGAAUUGUGAUAAAAAAAAGUGACAAAAAUAAGGUACAAAAAUAUUCCAGCACAUCAUUUCUUCUUCUGAAGAUGUUCUGAAUUUGACAUCCAAAAAAAAUCUUAAAAAGCUCUCUUCGGAACAAAUAUCCGAGCUAAAAUUUCCUCCCAACAAUCUUCCAAAAAAUAUUUUAACGUCACGCAGCAGAUCUUCCCAAGAUCUUUCGAUGAUUCUCCUGAGAAUUUUCGAAAAAUCUUCGAGAGAUAGAAAUUUUCCUGUGCGGAACGAUGGGACGUGCUCCAGCAGUAAGAGACUAUCGAUCAUAUAACCUCUGACCUCUUCAUACUCUGGACAGUCCCAAAAAACAUAAUUCAAGUCCUCCCUCACGUGAUCGUAUCUUCAGUUCGCAGAUUGAAUGAACCCUUCGCGUUCGAGGGAAGCGGCCAGAUGGUACUGGUUCGGACGAGCUCUCCCCGAGAAAUCGUGCGACGAGAUCAUCUGUCUUAUUAACUGAACUUUCUGAAUUACGUCAAUUUAACCAGUAAAAGUAUUUCAUACAAUGCCCAUUUCCUGUCUUCUCUGCAGUCCAAUUGCCCGUUGUCAUUAACGCGACAAUUCCGCGUCGCUACAUGUCGCAUGGUGACCUCGCGUGCAUACAGAACAUCGGGUGGGUGAAUAGUACAGUAUACACUGUAUACUAUACUGGAUGAAAGUGGGGAAAAGCGAAUAGAGAUGAGAGGAUAGGUGAAUGGGUGGUGGGUGAACGAGGGAGAUCUGAAAGUGUCUAGUGCAAUUGCAGCGCACUGGCGUUGAAGUUGCAUGUUCCACGCGGUGUGUGGUUGAGCAGUACUACCGAAGCACGUUUAACGCGCCAGAGAUAUCUGUUCGUUCCCCGCAUUUUGAAUAAUAUAUAUCGAGGGAUGUCCGUUGAAGCGGAAAUUUUUCCCUCUAAUUCUAAUACUCCUCGAAUUAUUCGAUACCUAAAGGAGGCAAGGCGGUCUUUCUCCUGAAUUUGAGAAUGUUUCUAUGGUAUCCGGUAGCUUAGUCGGUAAAAGUGCCUGGCGCGACACUGGGAAACCCGGGUUCGAGUCCCAGUUGAGUCAAAGCGGAAUUUUUUCUCUCCAAUUUUAAUUAUCUUCAAUUUUUUUUGGGUCAUUUUUUCUCCCUUCCGCCGAACGUUACAUUAUCCGUAGGAGACCUUUCGCUCAUUGCAGCUGGAGACAAAUCAGCAUUACAUAAUUAAUUGGUUAUGAUUGAUUUGCUCUGGGAUGGAGGCAUUGAAAUCGUUCAAUUAUUCGGUUUCCUCAUUUGGAUCGGAAAUUAUGGAGAGCCAUCUAACUUUGAAGAAUAUUGAGUUUGCGGCGAAGGUUUGCAGGGGUGAAUUCACUGAUAGAACCAGUUAUUUAUUCUACAUGAGAUUCGUUGACUAUUAAUGGCGGCGUUGAAUGUGAUCGUGUGAAUACUUGUUGAUAGGACACAAAUGCAUAUCGCAAUGUUUCAGAUAAAAUUUAGAUGAAAAUGACAGAACGGUCUGAAAAAAUGUGAAAAAGGCUUUAUAUUUAUAAUUCUUCAUAUCUGUAUGAAAUACCAAAUAAAUAUUGUAUUCUAUGUCUGGUAUUUUAGUUUCAAUUAAAAAUAUAAUUUCAGAUUAUCCGUCAUUUCCCCUGAAAAGUCAUCUCUCAAUCGAUUUAACCGAUGUUCGUCCUCAUUCGACAUUCUAAAGCGACUUCUGGCCCAUCAAUUCUCAUUUGGUUCUGCUGAAUCCUGUCAGUAGGAUAACGACCGUAAGACGUAUCACUCAGUGUUACCAAAAUAGAAGAGAAGAAGAGAUUUUAAUUAGCGUCCGCAUCGAGUCUAAAUCGAAUGAUGAUUCGAGAUUAUAGAUGGGCCUUCCUUACAUCUAAUAACUAAUCGUUAUUUGUCACUCCGAAAUAGGACAAAUUUGAUUUGAAUUAUUGAAUCGGCAAUGUUCAUCCAGAAUUAAUAGCUUUUCUUCCUCUAGACUAUAUAGAAGAUUAUUAAUUAAUUAUCGAGGUAGAAGUGUUAACCAUUCCAGACGUGAAUAGGAAGCAACGGAAAAGAGAAAAUACAAUUGGCGGAACUCUUUCCUCAUCGAGCGCAAAAUACAGCGGUGAACCGCAAGAAAGGGGUGUGAGGGUGCAGCGGUUGACAAUGCGCGUUGAGGGUUAACAGGAAGCAGUCGAGUUGAGCUGAAAACAAAUAGCGCUGUUUUACCAUUUUCGUGUCAUCAUUUAUCUCUCCUGCUAAUUACUUUUCUUUCUGCUUCCAUGAAAAAAGGGCUGAAGAGAAACGAAAGGUCAUCGAAGCAAGAGCUAAAUGUCUUAACGUGGGUUAAACCGUCCCACACAAAAAUAUAGCAAACUGUAGAUGUAUAAACAUCAAGUUUGUGAGAAUAGGAGUAAAAUAGAAGACUCUAAUUACGUUAAUGAGGAGUCUCCCCAGCGAUGUUAAAGGCCACCUAAUGAGAGGUUCGUUUUUUCAAUUUUUUAUUCUCUUGAAAUACCAUCGAUGAAUGGUUUUUGGGAAUCCAUAUCUACCCCUGCAGAAGGGCAGUUGCCUUUUCACGUUGGGAAUUCUCCCGCCCCUGUCUUUCACAAGUACUUGAAAAGCAUUGGGCGCAAUUUUAUCAAUGAAAGAAAACUAUGAUUUCCCUCGGGAAGAAUCGCAGUAGAGCCCCAAAUGCCUGCACCCUAGCCAUCCCAGAAGUCAAUCUGUCACUACCCUACACUGCGAAACUAAUAUCUUUAGCAGGACAGGGUAUUUCAGGAUAGAAUAUUAAUUCGAAUAAAAAGUUUGCAACCUGACUUAAUUCCGCGAUAGCCGAAGAAUAAAAUCUGCCAAAUGGCACUUUCCAAUCAUAAAUUUCAAGUACAAAAAUGAAAAAAUUAAAUGAGCUCCUUAAAUAAUUAAAAACACGUUCAUUGCUCAAGUUAAAAAUAAGCUCAUUACAUAAGUUGAAGGCAAGUUCAUUAAAUAAGUUACAAAUACGUUCAUUAAAUAAGAAAAUGGCGUGAUUACAGAAAGAAAAUGAUAAAAUAUGCACUGAAAUGUUAAUGUAGUAAUUGAACUUAUUUAAUCGAGCGUUAUAUCCAAUUAACUGAAAAUUAAACCCUGAAAGUGUUUAUUUUAUGUCACCUGUUUCCAGAAAUCUCGUCUUGCCUGAACACACACUGGGGGUAGGGAAAUACACUGACAUUCUCCGAAUUCACGUCCCCUAUCCCCCGUGAGUGUGACUGUAAUAGGAAUUCACUGUAAUAGGAUAUUUCGAAUAUUUUGUAUCCACUAAAGUGAUACCAUAUUUCGUCUAUAAGAUAUUGCCACUCGCUCAGCUGGAUAUUGUUGUCAUAUUACACAGUUUCGUCAUACCAUGGAGUGAUGCAUGCUAAUGCCUGAGACAAAUCGCAACCCGUGAAGUGUACAAGCAUCCAAAUGAAUCUUCAAACUUUUAUGGAUGUCUACUUAAUCUUCUCACCAUAAAUGUGGCACUGAGAAUACAAUAUGGAAUACUUUAUGCAGAAAAAUAUGGAUUUUCAAUGACAAUACUCAGCUAGUCGUAGCUUUAAACUUUUGAAGAACUUUACUAUUUACGGAAUAUACUUUAUAUUUCAUGAUGCACUUCUGGUGGACCAUGAUGAAUAAAUGAGACUCCAUUAUGAGAAACUUUUCCGUCACUCAUUACUGAAUUAAUCUCCCCAAAGAUUAAGAGGGAAAAAAAUAAACUAGAGGAAUAAGAAAAUAUUCGACAUAAAGUCGUGCAGUAAACGCUGAAUCACGGGAGUUCUGGUCGCAGUUUACGCACGUUGUUAUAAAAAGUUUCGUGGGAAAGACGUGCGAUAUCGAUUUUACAACUGGUGUGACUGGUAAACUCGUCUGCAAGUUGUUUUCCAGGGUGUUUAAUGGAUGAAAUUAAUUACAUAACAAGGGCGGUAAGUUUUUAGAAAGAACAGAGAACUUUUAUGAUCACCAGACUCAAAUGAUUUCUAUCACACGUGUUUCUGCGGAAUUUUACAGUGUGACGUGCGUAAAAAUUGAGGAAUGGCCGCGCCAACGUGCGCCAUUUGGCAUUUUCCGCACGGAAUCGUGUAAAAUACUUUUCUGGACUAAUGCUUUUAAUGAAUAACUCCUCAGAGACUUUUGGCACUCAGAAUAGUUCCGCUUGGGUAAUGGCAAUUACUCGGGAAAUUUAUUCUCUCAUUUUUACCCAAUUAGAAAUAAAUUGGUUUCGAGAAAAUCUAAUUAAACUUAAUCGAACCGGCGACGAUUUUCCGAUCAAAUAAUACGUUUGACGGUUCGCUCAGCCAUGGCAUACAGCCAUUAAUGAUUUCCGACACUAAUGAUGGUUACCUGCGGUAUGUAUUCCACGUUCAUUCCCCUCCAAAAGGUUGGAUUGUCCAAUGACAAUGAAACUGAUGCACAACAGAGCUGGAUAUGGUGUGUACCAUUCGCAAUACACUGAAAGAGAGUGAGUAGAUCGUUAUGCGUGGACUGUGGAAACGUUUCCGUUCUAGUUAAUUUUAUAACGUUAUUAACAUCCUCAUUUGAUUGUCUAAUGAGUAGUUCUGGAUGCUGUAUGAGCAGAUAACAUAUGAUAUAAAAUUUUGAUAAUUAAGUAUAUUUACAAAUUCGUAAUUAAGUAUAAUUAAUUAAUUUUUUUUUCAUCACGAAUUAAUUGGUACCUGGCUUUGUACGUUCUGUGGACUUUGUCAGCCAUUUGCCUAUAGCUCAUUGAAUUUUUAUAUUUUUCAUGAUUCGUUUUCAUUUUCAUUUAAUAUUGAAAUUUUUUUCGAUUACAAAAUCAAAACAGCACUGAUUGGCAAAAUUAAACAUUCAAAACUCACGUGAGAGGAGACAAUGGCAAUGCGACAAUACCACUGUGAUAAAUCCAUAAAUUAAUCUGGUAAACUUUUGAAAUAAUUAUUCUUUUUGAAUUAAAUUUAGUGUUCCUUUUUAAUUUUUCUGAGACCGAACUGAUUGGUCGUUCUACAUUCCAUUUCAGAAGCCAGAAGUUGGGAUUUUUUUCAUUCAACGAAAUGAAAGCUCUUAACCUCAUCCAUUCGAGUUUUAAGGAAUGAAUUAUCGCUGUUUGCGCUUCAAUAUUUACGGUCCCGACCUUCAGAUUUUACAUUUUUCAAGAGUAAUUUUCCAUUGCACUUUAUUUCAUUUCCAUUAUCCUCUGAAUUUUUGAAUUCGAAUAAAAAAAAUCCACAGAGUGGGUUAAAGUGGAUUAAUUUUAAUAAACAUGAUUACAUUAAUAUACUAGGGAUGUUUGUAUGAAAGUGAAAAAUUAUUUCCGAGGACUCGAAAAAACUCCUGAGAAUGGGACCUGCGAAGCUCGAUAACGCUCGUAAAUUAUGAAGAGAUAUUUUAAUACGAAUGGGACAGAAUUAAGAAAAGAAGAAUUAAGAAUUAUUCGUUGCCUUUUCGUUGAAAAGGCAACGAAUAGUUGUUGAAUAAUACUUCAGCAGCAAAGAUUUAUUAAUAAAUGAAGUAAUAUGUCAUUGCACUUUGUCAUUUACAUUGCAUUCACACAAUCAAAGUUAUUAUUUUUAGAAUUCUCUGGUUGGAUUUUUAUCCAGAUGGAAAUACUCCGGGCACCGCCAUUUCUACCUCUACUCUAAUAUUAAGAAAACGAUGGAAUGUGACUAGGAUGAUUGUGAUUGAACCUAUACUCAUCCCGAUGCACAUGAAGGAUUGCCUUAGUAUGAAUAAUCGACAUUACAACUCAAUUAUGCGGUUGCAAAUAGACCUUCAUAUCAGGUGAUAGU